AGUCUAUGGUGUAGGCACUUCCAAAGCAUUAACUUGUAGUGUUCACAUGCUUCGUAUAGGGAUUCACCUUUAUAUUGUUUGAAGUUGGUGAUUUCUCGCCUAAGCU
rfam:Gossypium raimondii chromosome 2, whole genome shotgun sequence.